GAACGCACCUUGCACCCUUUGGUAUUCCGAAGGGUAUGCUCGUUUGAGUGUCAUUGUAUUCUCACACUUCCGAUCUUUGGGUUGGGAGCGGUGGACUUGGGUUUGCUGCUUCACCGUGGCUCACCUCAAAUAUGUUAGUGCAGCUCUUGGUUGGACAUAGUACGGCGUGAUAAGUGUUUUUCGCCGGUGCCUCGCAAAGAGGGUGGCCGAUCGGGAUGUUGUGCUCCAAACCGUCUUCGGACAAUCUCUGACGACUUGACCUCAAAUCGAGUAAGACUACCCGCUGAACUUAAG
rnacentral:misc_RNA from 1 species